GGAAAUGUUUCGACACAGUCUGGAAAAAUGGCCCUAGACAGGCCAUAAUCUGACCAGAUUAGCCAGGAAAUGGAUUGCUUUACACCUGGAGAAAGUGCACACUUGUUCCCUUAAAUGGAAAAGUUCAGUUUCUGAGGUAUGAACAAAACAAGACAGCAGAAGCUGAACAGGAGAAGAAUAUUUUGUGUACCGUAUCAUAUUGUGCAGCUGCCUGUAAAC